UAAUAUUUGUCCACAGUUUAAUUUUUAAUUUGUAUUUAUGAUUGUCCGUUUCUUCUGUAAAAGCUCAGUUUUUCUCUGCUUUGUUUUUCAGAAUUUGUUUUUUCCAUCUAUUGGCGUAUCAAGAAUACGUUUUGCUAAUGCAUAGUAAUCAGGUGGAGAUUGAGCCCUUUGAAAAUAUAUUCGACAAACAAGGGGGAGCAUUCAGAUAAUCCAAAUGAUGAGAAAAUCCAUCGCAACAGGGGGAUGCGUGGAGGCUGGGAAUUAAUAGCUUUCAUAUCACAUCAUGCCUUGCACGCAUGUCACGUGACCACCACAUUGUAACUACAAUUAUCUCAGUGUUGUUAAGUCACAAGCUCGUCUGGGUCGGUGACCUAAACAAUCACGAUAAUAAUACGACUACCCCAGUGUUGUUCAUUUCAAGGCCCGUGGGCCACUGGCGGCCCCUGGUGGCCUUUAGUGCGGCCCCCGUCGUGCGGCCCCCGACAAAACACAAAUUUUAAAACACCCCAAACGGCGUGCUGUCGAACCCAAUGGUUUCAGCUGUGUGGCGGCCCUCACACUAAUGUCUUAUCGGCGAAAGUGGGCCCCCUCCAAACAUCAAUGAUUUUGCUGGUGUACAUUGCCACAUGAUAAGCCACUUCCUUGAGCUAUCAAUUGUGGCCAGUUCGCUUCUGAAAAAUUGGCGAAUAGUUCAGUUGGCUUUCGCUGUGGCAGUGAGCGCAGCGUGAGACCAGACUUGAGGAAUGGAAUGGAGUGUGGAUUCUACAGCAGCUUCGACGCCCACACGGCACUCCCCGUUAGCACCAUCCUCCUGCUGCUGCUGCUGUGCUGAUCGAGGUGAGACAGAGAGAGGUCCUAAUUGGACCAUUCCUGUCUCGUCUCUGCUCCGAUCUGCUGCCAGAGCAGUGGGUCUUCUGAACCUUUAGUUGGGAGGCACACGAAGCCGCUAUUACAUUUCUCGCCAUGCAUUCUGGUUGCGAUGUAUUUUGAACAUCUCUUUCAACCAACGUCUACGUGCCACAGAUGCCACCGUGGUGUAACGGUCAGCCUGCUGGACUUGCAAUUCCGAGGUCACCGGUUAGAUUCCCCUGGCGAAGCAGUCGAAACAGUGGUGCGGGUUUCUUGAAUUCCCGCUGCCCCUGUCCACUCAGCAGUAUGGAUGUGUAGUGGCACAGCAGCAGUAACUGCAGGUGGACACUUAGCGCACACGCCGUUGAGCAUAUACACGGUGUGUGUGCCGACAGGGCGGAGGAACUGGGGCAAGGGUCAUAGUAGACCUCGUGGGGAGGCCCCUGGAACCCUCUGGUCGGUUCGAGAAGAAAGGCGCGGCUAGGACGGAGCCAAGCAGCGCCGAGAUGAAUAAAAGCAUUGGAGAGCGAGCGCUACGGACUGCCGAUUCUGGGAUUGGACUCGUCUCGUCGUCGCUGUCAUCUUUCUUCUUGGUUCUUUCGGUAAAGUCACGUAGAAGGGAAGUAAUAAAAUAAUAAAAAUUAAAGCGUGGACGGCUGCUUGCGUUGUGGCCGAAACGUCGUGAGAAUUAUUUUAUUAUGUUUUAUUUUUAUUAUUGUAUUACUUCCCUUCUACGUGACUUUACCGAAAGAAGCAAGAAGAUGAAUCCCUGCAGUCACGAAAGCUUUAAAUCGAAAGCUGUCAUCUUUGUCGCUGCCCGCCUUCACUCGAUAAUUGCGUGGCCGGACAGUUGUUGGUUGUCUCGGUCGACGCCGUCGGUGCAACGCCGUUAGGCUUGUGUUGAGGCUGGGUUGUACGGCAAGGGGAGCGAGAGGGAGGCGAUCCUGUGUGUGAACGCCCGAAGGGUGUUACAAUAAAAGAAGGUGCCUCUUGCAACUGCCUCGUCACCGACUUGUGCUGCACUACAAGUGGACCAGUUAGUGGAUCGGCUGGUCACGUGUGGUGGGGUUAAUUAUGGGUGUAACUCGCUUGUUUUUCCCAAAGCAUCUGGCCAGAGUGGAAGAGUAGGCCAAAAUCAGAAUCAGUAUUUAUCCUGGAGAAAUCCGAUGAGCUAAGAAGCAAUUUUUCUCAGAUGUCCAGUAGGAACAACAACAAACAAUAUGCAAAGACGGUAGGAGUAGGGCUGAACGAUUUGGGGAAAAUAUCUAAUUGCGAUUUUUCUAACAGAUAUUGCGAUUGCGAUUUGAUUUGCGAUUCAAUGUUUUUAAGUCAAGCUUCACUGUGUAAUAGAUUUAAAACAUGUGAUGGAGCAUAACCACAUUAUACCAUCAAAAUAUGAACUGCUCUAUAGAUUCUAAUGCAAGGAUUAGAACUUAAAAGAUAUGAAUUGCUUCCAGCAUGUAUUUAUUAAAAUGUUUUAAUUGAAACAGAACAAUCAAACAGAGAACAAUUGUUAAGUGAAAUAAAUAAAGUUAUAAUAAUAAAAAAUAAAACAAUUCCAAAAAGAAAGUAAUAGAAGUUUUCAAAUCGCCAAAAAAUCGUAGCCUUUGCGAUUUGCUAAUCGCAUUGUUUCAAAUGGCGAUUUCGAUUUGAAAUCGAUUCAUCGUUCAACCCUAGAUAGGAGUGCAUAGUAUCAUAAAGGCAAGCAAAUCACAAACAAACCAAAUUUUUUUCUUACUUUGCCGGGAAUAGUCCAUUGUGUUAUUCGCUUCUUUUUCAGAAGCGACCCGGCCAUAAAUGUUAGCUCAACGAAGUGGCUUAUCACAUGCGAAUUUAUAGCAGCCAAAUUAUCGAAAUAAUCUAAAAACACUCUCUAUAGGGGCUCUCUACAGCUCUCUUUAGCGGAGGUCCAUCUGCUGGCAGUGAUGUGAGCAUGGAAUUGCCACCUCGCGUUAUCACUAUACAAAACUAGGGCUUGUUCGGGGGCGCCUGUGGUGCCCCUCACAACCAUUUACGGCCUUUGGUCAGGAAAGUCACGAACAAAAUUGCACACUAACGACGCAUAUUCACGCAAGCU